GCCACCAAUCUGGUCUCCUGCGUGCUCAGGCAGGAUAAAUUGAGAACUCUCAUGGUAGCCCCAGGGGAAGGCUGAGCCCUCACGUGGAUGCCACACAGAUCAACAGGCCCAUUCUGAGCAGGCAUCUUUGCAUCCUCAUUCACUAGGCCUCUGCUGUGCCCAGCUCAGUUUCCCAGGGUGGAGCUCGCAAUCCUGGUGACCGUGAGAUGAAGACGUUGCGACUCCUAGGAGACAAGAGUGCCUUCACAUUCAAGGGCUCUUGCAGAAGUCAGUUUCCUCGGACCCACCACACAUGUGGACCAUGGACUGCCCAUGUUCCAGAUCCUGAAUGCAUCUAGGGAGGGACCAGAAGUACCCAGACAGAUGUCCAAGUCACCAUGACCUUGAAAAUCAACUGCACGACCCUGGAGAUUGAGAGUCCCUGUGUUGUCUCCCAUCCUGAGGCAGUGGCUCCUGGAUAUUUGAGUUCUUGUAUGAUCUACUUCCUUUUAAAUUUAUUUAUUAUGAUGAUUUUUAAAUUAUUUAAAGUGCAUAGGUGU